UUACGACCAUAUCAUGUGGAAACACCGGUUCUCGUGCGAUGACCAAAGGUAAGCAAUGACGAGCCUGGUUAGUACAUAGAUGGGUGACCUCUUGGCAAUACCAGGUGCUGUAA